rnacentral:rRNA from 1 species
UACCUUUGCCGGCGAGCGGCGGACGGGUGAGUAAUGCCUAGGGAUCUGCCCAGUCGUGGGGGAUAACAGUUGGAAACGACUGCUAAUACCGCAUACGCCCUACGGGGGAAAGGAGGGGACCUUCGGGCCUUUCGCGAUUGGAUGAACCUAGGUGGGAUUAGCUAGUUGGUGAGGUAAUGGCUCACCAAGGCGACGAUCCCUAGCUGGUCUGAGAGGAUGAUCAGCCACACUGGAACUGAGACACGGUCCAGACUCCUACGGGAGGCAGCAGUGGGGAAUAUUGCACAAUGGGGGAAACCCUGAUGCAGCCAUGCCGCGUGUGUGAAGAAGGCCUUCGGGUUGUAAAGCACUUUCAGUCAGGAGGAAAGGUAGCGUGUUAAUAGCACGUURCUGUGACGUUACUGACAGAAGAAGACCG